CCUGGAUUCAGAAAAUGCGCAUACACAAUCAAAGAGAGGAAUUGAGUCAUUUAUGAAUUGGUUUGUAAAAAUAAAAAAGAAAAAGAAUAGAAAUGAAGAAUUAGGAUUAUAGAAACCCUGAGCUUUGGUUGGAAGAAAAGCAGCGGCGUCUCCAUCAACCAUGAUACAUCUAGCUCUAUGUAAAUCCUCUUCGAGCUUAUCAGCUAGCUUGGAAUCGAGAAGCUUAUGGGAGAGGAGAGAAUCGAGGAGGGAGCGGCAGCGACGUAUGGAAGAGUCGAGGGAAAGAACACGCUGGCGGAGGGACUGUUCAUCGUUGGAAGACCUUGAGAUUAAAGAAGCCGCAGAAUCCUGCAGGUCUUUGGCCUGCUCAACCACUCUAGCGACCUCAUCCUCAAUCUUGUUGGCGGAUUCCUCGACGGUGGAAUUGGAAUCCAUGAAAUUAAAUCCUUGCAGAAGCUAUCUCUAUCCGUAUGUAAUUUACACGCACAUAACUGAAAUCUGUGCUUCCUUGUCCUUUUGAAAACAUAACCUAUCUCUCUCUCUCUCUUUCUCUAUGUGCGGCGGAUGCACGAUAUCACGUGGACUCUCUUGCUGAUUCAACAAUCCUUGGCAUGUUUUCU
rnacentral:misc_RNA from 1 species